rnacentral:rRNA from 1 species
UACGGAGGAUGCAAGCGUUAUCCGGAUUUAUUGGGUUUAAAGGGUGCGUAGGCGGAACAAUAAGUCAGUGGUGAAAGUCUGUCGCUUAACGGUAGGAUUGCCAUUGAUACUGUUGGACUUGAAUAUGGAUGAGGUAGGCGGAAUGUGUAGUGUAGCGGUGAAAUGCAUAGAUAUUACACAGAACACCGAUUGCGAAGGCAGCUUACUAAUCCAUCAUUGACGCUGAGGCACGAAAGCGUGGGGAUCAAACAGGA